AUUGAGCGCUGGCGGCAGGCCUAACACAUGCAAGUCGAACGGUAACAGAAAGCAGCUUGCUGCUUUGCUGACGAGUGGCGGACGGGUGAGUAAUGUCUGGGAAACUGCCUGAUGGGGGGGGAUAACUACUGGAAACGGUAGCUAAUACCGCAUAACGUCGCAAGACCAAAGAGGGGGACCUUCGGGCCUCUUGCCAUCGGAUGUGCCCAGAUGGGAUUAGCUAGUAGGUGGGGUAACGGCUCACCUAGGCGACGAUCCCUAGCUGGUCUGAGAGGAUGACCAGCCACACUGGAACUGAGACACGGUCCAGACUCCUACGGGAGGCAGCAGUGGGGAAUAUUGCACAAUGGGCGCAAGCCUGAUGCAGCCAUGCCGCGUGGAUGAAGAAGGCCUUCGGGUUGUAAAGUACUUUCAGCGGGGAGGAAGGGAGUAAAGUUAAUACCUUUGCUCAUUGACGUUACCCGCAGAAGAAGCACCGGCUAACUCCGU
rnacentral:rRNA from 1 species